rnacentral:rRNA from 1 species
GAAGAGUUUGAUCCUGGCUCAGGACGAACGCUGGCGGCGUGGAUUAGGCAUGCAAGUCGAACGCGAAAGUUUUCCUUCGGGAGAAUGAUUAGAGUGGCGGACGGGUUAGUAACGCGUAGGUAAUCUACCUUCAAGAGUGGGAUAGCCCGAAGAAAUUCGGAUUAAUACCGCAUGUGGAGCUUCGGUUCUAAAGAUGGCCUCUGAUUUAAGCUAUCGCUUGGAGAUGAGCCUGCGUCCUAUUAGUUAGUUGGUAAGGUAAUGGCUUACCAAGGCUUUGAUAGGUAGGCGGCUUUAACGAGUGGUCGCCAACACUGGGAUUGAGAUACGGCCCAGACUCCUACGGGAGGCAGCAGUCGAGAAUAGUCUACAAUGGGGGAAACCCUGAUAGUGCGACGCCGCGUGGAUGAAGAAGCAUUUCGGUGUGUAAAGUCCUUUUCUGUGAGAGCAAUGUUUUCCAGGUUAAUAGCUUGGAGAAAGCGAUAUUAUUACAGGAAUAAGCUCCGGCUAACUCCGUGCCAGCAGCCGCGGUAACACGGGGGGAGCAAGCGUUGUCCGGAAUUACUAGGCGUAAAGGGCAAGUAGGCGGAAUGGUAAGUCAUAAGUUAAAGGCAUCAGCUCAACUGAUGUAUGGCUUAUGAUACUGUCAUUCUAGAGUAAGGUGGGGGAAGACGGAAUUCCUGGUGUAGCGGUGGAAUGCGCAGAUAUCAGGAGGAAC